rnacentral:piRNA from 1 species
UGCCCAACUUGUGUCUACUGUCGGACUC